GACGAACGCUGGCGGCGUGCUUAACACGUGCAAGUCGAACGGAAAGGCCCUGCUUUUGUGGGGUGCUCGAGUGGCGAACGGGUGAGUAACACGUGAGUAACCUGCCCUUGACUUUGGGAUAACUUCAGGAAACUGGGGCUAAUACCGGAUAGGAGCUCCUGCUGCAUGGUGGGGGUUGGAAAGUUUCGGCGGUUGGGGAUGGACUCGCGGCUUAUCAGCUUGUUGGUGGGGUAGUGGCUUACCAAGGCUUUGACGGGUAGCCGGCCUGAGAGGGUGACCGGCCACAUUGGGACUGAGAUACGGCCCAGACUCCUACGGGAGGCAGCAGUGGGGAAUAUUUCACAAUGGGCGGAAGCCUGAUGCAGCAACGCCGCGUGCGGGAUGACAGCCUUCGGGUUGUAAACCGCUUUCGCCUGUGACGAAGCGUGAGUGACGGUAAUGGGUAAAGAAGCACCGGCUAACUACGUG
rnacentral:rRNA from 1 species